UCAUGUAUCUGUUGUCCUCGAUUAGGGCUUGUCAUAAUUCUAAAGCUAGCUAGCUUUUGGUUGUGGUUUUCUAGUAACAGAGAUGGUACUAGAAACAUCUCUGUUACUAGAAACAUAGUGCAGUUGUAGGACUUAAGCAACGUACAUUUACAGCUCAACCUUAGGCCCAUUACAGCGAAAAAGUGCUGCUUCUGUUCUGUAGAGAUGCAUCACAUGCUUCUGCAAUAAAUCUACCGUUCAGAUUCUAGAUAAGGUAGCUCAUUCUACGCUCUCGCUGCUGCCAAAACAUAGUCAGGAAAGCUGAGCCUCGUAUCUUUAAUUUGAAUGGAUGAUUUUCUUUUUCAACAUUCAUUUCUUUUUCUUUUUCCUUUUCUUGUCAAAGCAAACCUCGACCCACGAGGCCAAAUUAAACUCAUUUCAUCUUAUGUGUGUUUUGUAAAAACUAAUAAGUAUUCUUUUAAUUUUAGUUAAAAUGAUUGACUAGUGGCUGUUUGGUGCCCUUUGGCCAAGUAGUGAUGUGAGAACA
rnacentral:lncRNA from 1 species